GGAGGUGUGGCUCAGGGGCAGAACACUUGCUUUGUGUUCAUGAAGUCCUGGGUUCAUUUUCCAGCACCACUG
rnacentral:tRNA from 1 species